UACGGGGGGGGCAAGCGUUGUUCGGAAUUACUGGGCGUAAAGCGCACGUAGGCGGCUUUGUAAGUUAGAGGUGAAAGCCCGGGGCUCAACUCCGGAAUUGCCUUUAAGACUGCAUCGCUAGAAUUGUGGAGAGGUAAGUGGAAUUCCGAGUGUAGAGGUGAAAUUCGUAGAUAUUCGGAGGAACACCAGUGGCGAAGGCGGCUCACUGGUCCAUUACUGACGCUGAGGUGCGAAAGCGUGGGGGGCAAACAGG
rnacentral:rRNA from 1 species